UUUGUUCGCCCCGGAUCGUGUCG
rnacentral:miRNA from 1 species